UUACGGUCAUAUCACGUUGAAACACUGUUUCUCUUACGACUAACGAAGUUAAGCAAACGUCCAGCCUGGUCAGUACCUAGAUGGGUGACCACUUGGGAAUACUCAGUGCCGUGA